AAGACUGUAUUUUCAGUGAUCAUUUUUAUAGGCAGUGAUGGAAGAAAUGUGUUUGAAAGUGUCAAAACUUGCCAAUCACCAUGGUGAGUUUUAGGGCUCUCUUCUCAGCAUGAAUGCAGUUAUCAACUCUGUUUUAUGCAGAUGUUGUUAGCUUUUGAUGACUGUGCUACUUCUUUAAAAAUAAGUGGUAGAAAAGAUCUCAUUCAGAGUGGC